rnacentral:lncRNA from 1 species
GCGAGGCAGGAAACCAGAGGGCAGGGAAGGUCAGAGGAGACUUUGCUUCUGAGGGCUUCCAAGUAACUGCCUCUGGCUCAAAGCAUUCAGCAUGCUGACCAGCCACACUAGAGAGUUAGGGGCAGGGCUGGUUCACAUCGGGUCCAGAGGUGGAGGGAAGCACUCUACGUUUUGUUCUAGCAUCCAUCAGUGGAGAAAGAUCUGUAGCAGGAAGCAGGCUGUGGGGAAGUAGUUACCGGGGACAGAACUGGUGCCGGUGAAACGGGCAGGUUCUCGACACACUUGCCAAGGUGGAGACAAUUGGACCUGCUGCCAUAGCAUGAGGAAAGGGACCGGUCAGGCCAGCGUGAUUUCAAGGGUUUUGCUUUGAGAGACUGGAAAAAAUUCUCUCACGGAAUGUAAAUGUUGGUAAGGGAGACAGGCAGCAAGAGUAGGGCCC